CAAAUUGUGUCACCGGCAACUCGCUGAGGCACUUCCUGUUGCAGGUUGCGGUGCCGCGGCGAAUCGUGGCAGCUGCCUCGAGUUUACGGCAACUGCCUCGCCUGUUGCCUCGGCUGAGUGAGGUACCUCGAGCGGUACCACGAAUUCAGGGGCCGGUUCAUCGGUCGAGAGAGGUACCUCUAGCGGUACCUCGAGUUACGGGAGUCUUGCCACGACCUAACGGAGGCAUGCAACGACCAAAGGGAGCGGUGCAUCGGCUGAUAGAGGUACCGGGAGUUUAAGGGAGAGGUGCCACGGCUGUUAAGGGAGAGGUGCCACGGCUGUUAAGGGAGCUGUGCCUCGGCUGAUAGACGUACCGGGAGUUUAAGGGAGAGGUGCCACGGCUGUUAAGGGAGC
ensembl:lncRNA